rnacentral:rRNA from 1 species
CCUACGGGUGGCAGCAGUGAGGAAUAUUGGUCAAUGGUCGGGAGACUGAACCAGCCAAGCCGCGUGAGGGAUGAAGGUACAGAGUAUCGUAAACCUCUUUUGUCAGGGAACAAAGGCGGGGACGUGUCCCCGGAUGAGUGUACCUGAAGAAAAAGCAUCGGCUAACUCCGUGCCAGCAGCCGCGGUAAUACGGAGGAUGCGAGCGUUAUCCGGAUUUAUUGGGUUUAAAGGGUGCGCAGGCGGUCUGUUAAGUCAGCGGUCAAAGCCCGGGGCUCAACCCCGGCGCGCAGUUGAAACUGGCAGUCUUGAGUUGGAGAGAGGUAGGCGGAAUGCGCGGUGUAGCGGUGAAAUGCAUAGAUAUCGCGAAGAACUCCGAUUGCGAAGGCAGCAUGCCGGCUCCACACUGACGCUGAGGCACGAAAGCGUGGGUAUCGAACAGGAUUAGAUACCCUGGUAGUC